rnacentral:rRNA from 1 species
UACAGAGGAUCCAAGCGUUAUCCGGAUUUAUUGGGUUCAAAGGGUGCGUAGGCGGCCUUGUAAGUCAGGGGUGAAAGACGGUAGCUUAACUAUCGCAGUGCCUUUGAUACUGCAGGGCUUGAAUGUACUUGAGGUAGGCGGAAUGUGACAAGUAGCGGUGAAAUGCAUAGAUAUGUCACAGAACACCAAUUGCGAAGGCAGCUUACUAAAGUAUGAUUGACGCUGAGGCACGAAAGCGUGGGGAUCAAACAGG